rnacentral:rRNA from 1 species
GACGAACGCUGGCGGCGUGCUUAACACAUGCAAGUCGAACGAUGAAGCCGGAGCUUGCUCUGGUGAAUUAGUGGCGAACGGGUGAGUAACACGUGAGUAACCUGCCCUUGACUCUGGGAUAACUGCUAGAAAUGGUAGCUAAUACCGGAUACGACCCUCGGCGGCAUCGCCAGGGGGUGGAAAGAAUUUCGGUCAAGGAUGGACUCGCGGCCUAUCAGCUAGUUGGUGAGGUAACGGCUCACCAAGGCGACGACGGGUAGCCGGGCUGAGAGGGUGACCGGCCACACUGGGACUGAGACACGGCCCAGACUCCUACGGGAGGCAGGAGUGGUGAAUAUUGCACAAUGGGCGCAAGCCUGAUGCAGCAACGCCGCGUGAGGGAUGGCGGCCUUCGGGUUGUAAACCUCUUUUAGUAGGGAAGAAGCGAAAGUGACGGUACCUGCAGAAAAAGCACCGGCUAACUACGUGCCAGCCGCCGCCGUAA